rnacentral:rRNA from 1 species
UCGACCUGAGCUCAAGCAAGACCACCCGCUGA